UACGGGGGGGGCAAGCGUUGUUCGGAAUUACUGGGCGUAAAGGGCUUGUAGGUGGUCUUCUACGUCUGAUGUGAAAUCCCUCAGCUUAACUGGGGAACUGCGUCUGAUACUGGAUGGCUUGAGUUUGGGAGAGGGAUGCGGAAUUCCAGGUGUAGCGGUGAAAUGCGUAGAUAUCUGGAGGAACACCGGUGGCGAAGGCAGCAUCCUGGACCAAUACUGACACUGAGGAGCGAAAGCCAGGGGAGCAAACGGG
rnacentral:rRNA from 1 species